UGGAGCUAGAAACACAAACAUUUAGCUAGGUAUUACUGUUGGAGCUAGAAACACAAGCAUUUAGCUAGGUAUUGCUGUUGGAGCUAGAAACACAAGCAUUUAGCUAGGUAUUACUGUUGGAGCUAGAAACACAAGCAUUUAGCUAGGUAUUACUGUUGGAGCUAGAAACACAAGCAUUUAGCUAGGUAUUGCUGUUGGAGCUAGAAACACAAGCAUUUAGCUAGGUAUUACUGUUGGAGCUAGAAACACAAGCAUUUAGCUAGGUAUUACUGUUGGAGCUAGAAACACAAGCAUUUAGCUAGGUAUUACUGUUGGAGCUAGAAACACAAGCAUUUAACUAGGUAUUACUGUUGGAGCUAGAAACACAAGCAUUUAGCUAGGUAUUACUGUUGGAGCUGGAAACA